UAACAAGGUCUCCGUUGGUGAACCAGCGGAGGGAUCAUUACCGAGUUUACAACUCCCAAACCCCUGUGAACAUACCAAUUGUUGCCUCGGCGGAUCAGCCCGCUCCCGGUAAAACGGGACGGCCCGCCAGAGGACCCCUAAACUCUGUUUCUAUAUGUAACUUCUGAGUAAAACCAUAAAUAAAUCAAAACUUUCAACAACGGAUCUCUUGGUUCUGGCAUCGAUGAAGAACGCAGCAAAAUGCGAUAAGUAAUGUGAAUUGCAGAAUUCAGUGAAUCAUCGAAUCUUUGAACGCACAUUGCGCCCGCCAGUAUUCUGGCGGGCAUGCCUGUUCGAGCGUCAUUUCAACCCUCAAGCCCAGCUUGGUGUUGGGACUCGCGAGUUAAAUCGCGUUCCCCAAAUUGAUUGGCGGUCACGUCGAGCUUCCAUAGCGUAGUAGUAAAACCCUCGUUACUGGUAAUCGUCGCGGCCACGCCGUUAAACCCCCAACUUCUGAAUGUUGACCUCGGAUCAGGUAGGAAUACCCGCUGAACUUAAGCAUAUCAAU
rnacentral:rRNA from 1 species